ACCUUGCCGGGCACGCGCAUUAAAGGGAAACGCCGGCUGGGGGUUAGGGGUUACCCCAAGACGGUGCAGGCAGUGGGACGAGGAGGCCUUUUACCCCCAUCCACCGCAGCCCUUGACUUCACGCUCGCCUCGAAGCUUUCGCAAAGUAGAUACGGGGACUGACCCUGUUGACACACUAACCCAAACUCGCAGACGCGUGGGGCUCGCAUGUACCCAAGACAGGAAAACUUCACGUUGGCCUGGAAACUUCUUCCAGGCUAAGCCUGAGUCUUCACCAGACACUGCAGCACGAAGGCCCUUCUGCCUUUUGGCUCGCCCUGGCCCAGAAUGCGCACCAGCCGACGGACUCUUCUUGCUCUGUUGCCCAGGCUGAAGUCCAGUGGUGCAAUCCCAGCUCACUGCAACCUCCGCCUCCCGGGUUCAAGUGAUUUUCCUGCCUCAGCUUCCUGAGUAGCUGGGACUACAGGCAAGAGAAAGAGGCCCACUGCAAUAUGCUGUGAAGAAUACAUAAGAAGUCAAACUGUUGACCUCUUUUCCCCAGCCCGUUCCAAAACUACAUCCCUGAGGAGUUGUGCACCUCUACGGAAAGUUCAGAUGAAAGAGCUAAUUCCCCUUGAUCUCUCUUCUUGUUCAGAGUGGAGGAAAAACAUAUACCAUCCCUUCCAUCAAUCCUCAGCAUAACUUUGCCAGGGACACUGGUAACAAGCUACUUUUACCUCAGAAGUUGGAGAGUAUCACUUGACCCACAUUGUGUAUGUGUAAAUAUCUUUAUUCAGUGUAUAUACAAUAUAUUCUUAAUUUGACUCUCAA
rnacentral:lncRNA from 1 species